AUUUAGUCACGUAGUUUACUUAGACGGUGUAUUACAAAGAGCAAAAAGUUUUUUCUUUUGGAGAUACACCGAAAUAUUAAAGAAAUAUUCAGAGCGCGAGACAACAUUGGUUGUGAUGGCUGAACGUUUUUUCCUGCUACUAGUCACCCGUGAGGCACGGAGCAGCCGCGUGAGCACAUUUUGACCAGAGGUCAGGUCCUUUUAGCGGGAACCUAAACUUCCUGGAGCUGCAUUCGAAUAUCGUUGGAUGUUGAUGCUGGAACUGGCGUGAACAGGAAGUUGGGGGAGGCACUCAAUGGUAGGGCGUCACUGCACUUACUCAGUACUUCCUCUACAGCUCUCUGUGUAGAAAAAUUGAGUUUUCAGUUACCAUGGCAUUCACAAGGUCCAAGGAGGACGACACUAAUUCAGUAUACCCCAGCUUUAUCCAUGCAAAACACCAAGACAAGCUUAAGCUACAGAAUGGUAACAGAGAUGGGACAGGACAAGGAUUCACUAUUGUGAAUAGCACAUCUUUACCUCAACCACUUUGACCAACUCGACCAGGUCAAUUUGGCGUGACUCCACAGGCUGGGGGAUCUCAAGACUGCUCUGCUUUGCAUCCUCCAGUAAAGGCUCAACUGCGAGAAAGCAUGGAUUUGCCAGGUCAAGCGUCUGAGCCUGAGGAACUGAGAGAUGAUCUACUAGUGUGAUUUAUGCUGAUGGAAUUUACCUCUGGAUCGCUUCUUUUGUAGCAGGAAGGGUAAAUACCAGUGACCUCAGCAGACCAGCUAAUCAUCCACAUCCCACCAGUUUGCAAGUGGACCAACCUUUGUGAAGAACUUGUGGCCACGGAUAUUCUGCGAUGACGGGCGAUCCCGUGGGUCGAUUUGAAAUAUUUUGCCCAUCAGUUUCCCAGCUUCAAUACCGAGGUUCUGGGGUAGAAUAAAUUUAGCUUCUUUGAUGUUCUUUAUCAUUUCACAGCGAUCGUCGUGAUCGAAUGGGAUUUCCCCAACCAGAAGCUGGUACCUGUAGUAAGAAAGGCAGCAAAGGUGUUUGAGGUCUUUCACAUUUGACAUAAAAAUGCUGUGCUUCCAAAAGAGCAAUUCCUCUCAACUGUGUGCCAGUAUUCAUUUUUCUUUUCUAUUUCAAGUAGAAAAAAAAAACAUAUUUAUGUAUGUUAGACGCAUGUCUUCUUAAAAUGUUAGACAGAUUUUAUUAGCCAUGCUGAUCUUUGGCCGGGAGGAGGGUUGAUAGGGUAUACGUACAUGACACAGCCCAGUGCCCAGACUUCUGCUUCUGUUCCAUGGCCCUCCCGUUUCCACACUUCUGGAGCCAUGUAGACUGGUGUACCACACACUUUUCUACAACACACACAAAUGGAAAACGUUAAGCGCACAUGUGCUUUAGUUUGCUGUAUAAACAAAUUUGAAAGCUUAGCCAGGAAUUCUGCAAAAAACACCUACUUCUCCCUCGGCUCCAGCUUGACCGCCAGUCCAAAAUCUCCAAUUUUCAGUUCCAUUUUGUCAUUCACAAAUAAAUUUUCUGAAAGACAAACGAAUUUGCAUUAAGGAUAGACUCAAAUACUUUGCCAAACUGCAGACUUUACCAAAUUGAUAAAUUAACACUACACAGAAAUCCAGACGAGCUACACUCGCAAUGCCAUGUGAAAUGCCAGCAUUAUUAAACAGAGAAUUGAGUAAAGCGUGAGUGCAUGUACACAUACCGAACUAGAUGUCCCUAUGGACAUAACAUUGCCGGUAGAUGUGUUUUAUCCCCGAUAUCAGCUGUUGAAUGUAAUAGCGGACUUCGGGGUCAAUCAGAGUCCCGCGAGCUUUCAGGAUGUCACCAAGUGUCUGGGCAGGGAGAAACAGGGGCAGCCUGAUCCAUCACAAAGUCUUUGCCUUAGUAAGAUGUCUACAAAAGUCAGGGACUCACCUGCCUACUGCACAACUCCAUGAAAAUAUACAUGAACAGAUCGUCUUCAAAAGAAUGGGAGAAGCCCACAACGUUCUUGUGCCGUGGUUUUUUUUCAAAAUCUCCACUUCUUGACACACCUGAGUGAAAUAUCAAACACCAUCUCAUCAAGUAUUGUAACAGGGAAAUGCAGAUAAACUGCAAAGAGGGAUGACAUUAAGCACAAUCCAUACCACAUACCUCCUCCAGUCCCCAGGAAUGUAGAGGUAUGACCAUCACAGCAAAGGUGUCACCACUUUCAAGGUCGGUCAUCUUGUAGCACUUGCCACAAGCACCCUAAAGAACAUGUCAAUAAAGGGCAUUUCUGACUGACCCUGUUCAAGCAUCUCCUCUCCGCAGAAAAAAAUCAACUGUAAUCACUUUCAACAACAACUUUAUGGUGCACACCUGUCCCAAAAGCGGCCAAGACAGCUGGGCAAUUUGAACUUGCUAGAUGGAUUACAUCACCACAUUGAAAAUUCCAUGGACGGAAAAAGAGGUGAACUUGCUAAGACAUUGCAACAAAACACGGAUAAAAACUUUCAUUACAAUCAACUUCAUUGAAGAAAAAAAACCCAUCUCCGUUAUGUACACCAAACAUUCAGUUUCGGUAAUGCAGUAACACAUGCUCAGGAAUAAAGACUUUUAUGUAGUGUGCAGUGACUAUCACAUCAUAUGUUACUGCGGCUCUUUAGGCACUCAGCUAUCGGUCUCACUUUGUCAUACAGAACAGGGAUUCAUUUUCUGGUGAAAAACUUCCUAUGUGGUAUGUGAUACCUCAGCUCCAAGAUGUGGAGCAGUUAUCUAUUACACCGUAAGGCUGGAUAUUUUUACAAAUAAAGGUGGCAAUGGUGUCGGUUAUUGCCUUAGAACGAGCUGUUAGCUGGCAGGGUGUGAAAAUUAGGGCGUUUAUUUUUUUUAAAGAGUUUUGUGUUAUUUGAAAGCAUUGUGAAAUGUAAAAAAAAAAACAGUAAUGAUAUGAUGAAAAUGGGAAUACUGACGUUGACAAUGCCAAUAUAAUAUUUUGGUAUGUUAAGGCAUGUUUGUUCUCUGCUUUAAAGAAAGGGGGAUGUGUUGAUAUGUAGUGCAGUACUUUUGGUGACCAGCAGAGAGACCUGGAGGGUUGGGAGGAGGUAAAGACAAGGGGUAGGGAGACCGACGGCACAGAGCAGGUUGUGGGUUUGCAUGGAAGAUGUUGGUGGUUAAAUAAAAGUUCAUUGUUCAUGAAACAAGGUCUCUUCAAUGACAUAUGAACAACACAAUGUAUCUCUUCCUUCUCAUGAUAAUCUGACUCGCCAAACAUGCCUCCAGCUCGCGUGAUGUGGCCGAGGGACUUGAGGAGAAUUAUACACUGACAGCAGUGGAGAUGAGAGCGCACUUGAAAUUAUCAGGUAAGAGAGGGUUAAUCGAGCAAAAUGUACAAUUAUUGGUCAGAUAAUGUCGGUCAAAUUUCUAAAUAAUUAUGGCGUACGAAUAAUGAUAUAUCCGUAAAUCGUAUUUUACCGAUUUAAAGAUGUUCAUUAUUCAUUGUAUUGUCACGCCCCCCUCGGGAGAAUGCAGCGGCAGCAGCCACACCUGAGUUACGUCAACUCCCUGUUUAGUUCUGCUUGGCGCUGCAUUAUAUGCAAGGUACUGUUGAGGGUUUUCAUAAGAAGUACAGGGCGGUCUUCCUCCUGUCUACCCCGAUCCGGUCCAUCCGCCUGCUUUGCUGCCAUUCCAUCCCAUCCCAUCCUGAUCCUCCCGGACCUCUUCCUUGUACUUGUCCUUCGUCUCGCAUGCCACCUGUAGAACUGGCUUUUGGACUCGAUUGUACUUGCUGAUUCCAGUUCUGUUUGCGUGUUCCCAACAAUAAACCCCGUACAGUACGUUGCCUUCUGUGUCUCUACCAUCCUCCGGGGUUGCAUGUUGUGCAGUACUGUAGUAGCUUGGAUUCAACCAUUAGAUGGCAGUAGUAGCAUAUAGUUGGAGGGAAGUAGAAGAAGGCAAGAGAGGGAAGUUGAGUGUUUAUGCGUUGUUCCCGGAGCUGAUAAGUUAAUAAAUAUUGAACCUCUUGCCAUCCCCAAAUGUGUCUCGGCUGACUCUCAAUAUAUCAAAAGUACAUACCGUCUAUUUAUUUAUGUCUGCCCUUCAAACCGCUAGAUUCCUUCACUAAGCAGGAAGUUUGUCACGACAGCUGACACCAAAUCUCCUGCUGAGCUGGUUCAGACAGAACUAUCCUCAAUUCACCACGAGGGGGCGCCAACGCAGCAGCUUAGUUCUAUUGUUUCUCUUUUUCAAAGACAGUUUUUCUCUUCACAAAAGGACAACUUAACUGAAUAAUGCACUUUCAUAGUAAUUGUUUUUAAUCCGUGUUAAUGUUCUGAACAAUGACUACUAAAGGUUCUGUAAGGUUGUCCCACAUACUAUGGAUUUUAAGUUUUUUAUCAAGGUGUUAAAAUGUACCAUCUAUUUUCUGCUGAAAGUUGCCAGUCCUGUGUUUUAUGUCUAGCAAUUUGUACAGUUUCUUCAGUAUGGCGCAUAAACACAUGCCAUCAUCUACAGUAUGAGAAUCUCCUCCAGAACUCUGCAUUUCCUCAAGAUUUUUUUUGUAAUAUUACAUAGGUGCAUCUCAUGAACCUUAAUUUGCCAAGCAUGUAUUGACUGGGCACAGUACAGUGGUGCAAUUUCUGACAAUGAAAGAACAUCAUGGACCCCUACUCCCCAUUCCUUAACCCGAUCGAGGGGCUCUGCUCAGCAUGGAGUUAGAAGGCUUACGAUCGCCAGCCACAUGCUCAGAUGACCCUGCUGGCUGACAUGGAUGCAGCAUGUGAGGACAUUAUAGCAGAUGCCUGCAGAGGCAGACACUUCACUGAUGUUGAAUGUUGUUCAGCCCAGAUACCUGAUGAGGGUCCAGCAUGGAGACAGUGUGACCCUGACAUGCUUCCGUCCAGAAGAUAUUUCUUUUGCAGUUUGGUUUUAGCAAGCUGCUGGUCAGAAGCCCCAGCUCAUGGCGAAAGCACUUCUCUAUGUACCUGGUGAAUUUUACAAGGAAUAUAAAAACAUAAAACGUUACUCCUUACUGAAUGCAGAGGGGAGUUUUAACCUCACUAUUUCUAACGUGGAGCCGUCAGAUUCUGCAGUGUAUUAUUGCGCUGCUCUGUUCUAUAAUGAAAUCGCAUUUGGAAAUGGAACCUUUGUCAUAAUCACAGAUAAAUGAGAUUCCAACUA